AGGAUGGGUAAAUGUCAGCUCUUUGGAUUUAGAAGGCAGUGUCACUUCUCCCACCAAAACAAACAGUGGCGGCUUUAAUGUGGCUUUCAUGUAUCCCAUCAUCCCCAACACUGGGAAGCCAAAGCAAGGAUUAAUCUUGGAGCACUGAGAACAAAGGAAAGUGGAAUGAUUCUGUUGCAGAAGUGGAAUGGAAUAAGUCCUCCCAGGUUGGAUGUGAACAAGCUAUUUAGCUCCUGCAGACCAUUAAGUAUCCUUAAAAUGAUAUGUUUCCUGAAAGAAAAGCUUGUGAGAGUAAUGAACUCUGGGAACUGCUUAUCUGCCUUUUGAAAUAAAAAUGCUUUUGGCCUGAAUGCCAAAUGAUAUCUUGCACUUAGCAAAAAUAACUGAAACAUACUCCAUCUCACAUGUCAUCUGCUCACAAAACUGCUCUUGAUCGACCUACAAAGCUGGGAUUGUUUACUGUGUGACUGACAGGGUUUAGUUAGUAUCAGUUUCUGGAGGGCAGUGUAGUGAAUUAAAUCUUACAAAGUGACCUCAGGAGCCUUUGCUUUGGAUGAGCCCAUUUCACCUUCAUCCUGUCCAAGUGGAACAGUGCUGUUACUUCCCUAGGAUGUAGCUUGCCUAAUAGGAUAAGGGAUCCCGUUACCCAGUGUUGGCAGCCCUUCACUGCCUUCAUCCCCCAGUGUGCCUGCAAAACUGGAUCAUUUUGCCUGCCAGUCUGGGAACAGUUCCUCCAGCACAGUGCCAGAGAGGGAAGACCUCCAGGACCCCGUCCCACAUGGCUGUCAGUGACGUGCUGGAGUCACCACUCCGUGGUGACAGAGCCACUGUGACCCCCAAAGGGGUCAUGAGCCACUGCCUGCCUGCACAGCUGCUGGGAAGAGCACUGCUGCCUUUUUCCUCAGUCAAAACUUCUUGGGUUUGCGUUUUGGCACGCCAGUUCUCUGUGGGCAGAAAUGAGAAUCUCCAGCUUGACCUGAACGGGUGAAGUGAGCUGUUGUGGGCACCCAGAGCAGGGACCCUUCUGGAGGAUGCAGCACAUGGACCUGGGCUGGCCUCAGCAGCAAAAGGCAGCCCUGAAGUUGUGCAUUGCUCUGCCAGCUGAAGGCUGAAGCCCCUCCAAGCCUCAGUGCUCUGCCUGAUUCAUCCCCUCGGACUCUGCAUCCUGCUCACGUUCCCCACCACUGCUUAAGGCGACAGCCCCCUGCUCUGCAACCACGGCCAGUAAAUCAGGGGGAAAGUGACGCUUCUUGUUUAGAAAACACUGGCUGCACUAAAACCACCUCUGGUGAAUGGAGGAGCUGCAGGCUGCAGGGGCCCAGCAGGCUGCCAGAGUGACCAUACAUGGCCACAGGUCCCUGUGCAAGGCUUGGUGGUCCCGGAUGGUCACUCACACCUCAUCAGGAGGCUUCUGCCUGCAGGGAAGUGUUUCCCUCCCUUUGGAGCACGGGGAGAGGGCUGAAAUGGACUUUAAAUUUUAAAUCAUUCGGGCAUCCUUCCACAGAGGUUUCAGCAGGUGCUGCUGAAAGCUAUCCAAUAUCCUUGUGUGGCUGCUCAGCAAAAUAGGGCCUGGCCUGGGUUGGGUUCAGCAUGUGCUAAUUAAUAUUUAUCUUUAACCACUACAUAAAUGAAGCUCUGUUGCCCAAUCUUUAAUGCAGGAUGACCUGGUCCUGCUCAGCUGUGAAGGACUUUCCAGUUUUGCAGCUCUUUAAGGAUAAAGAACGUGAAAGGCUGAGAUUUAAUUUUGCCUUUAAGUGAAUUUAAGUCCCUUGAAAAAGCUGCAGGUUGGAGUAGAGAUUUGGGAGGAUGAAGUGCCUUGCUGCAGGGACAGCUGGUUUGGCAGGCUGGGGCUUGGGGUGUCUACAGCGAGAUCAGAGCUUGUUGUCUUCUUGCAGGUUUAAAACUGGAUGAAGAGCUAUGGCUGGGCAGGGUUUUAAUUUCAGGUGGAAGGCUAAAAUAGCUGCUGAGACCAUCUCCUUCCUCCACUGGUCUGCAGCAGCACUGCCAGGCUGCUUCUCCUCCCCACUCUAACUCACAAGAGAAAUUAAUUCCUGGAGCUGUUGCUUACUGUUUCUCCUGAGAAGUGGAGAAAUGCCAGUGGGAAAAUGCAACAUUUCCCCUCACCUGUCCUCUUAAUUUUGAGUUAAAAUGCAUUCAGACUCCUGUGAGGAAGAGCCUCUGCUGUGGUAGUCUGUCUUGGUAUUUACUUUAAUGCAAUUUCAUGGCUGUCUCAAAAGGUCUUAUUAACAAGGUGGGUGUGAAUUCAGUGUGAAGGCGCUCGAGCAGCACUGCCUCCAGCAGCAGUGUGCCUGGCCAUGUGGUCCUAGUCCUGGUCUAGCUGUCUGGUUUGAUUUUUAGCUGCUGCUGCCUUGUUCUCUUGACAGCUUCCCUCUAGAGGUGAAGGAAAUUAUAGGAGAUCCUGGGGGGAGAUUUGUGGUGGCCAGCACAUAGCCCACCAAUGCUGAACCUGUUAUGGCAGAGUCAAGGUGCUGGGGGUUAAAAUCCCAUCACACCAGCGCCAAGAGUCAAGGAAAAGAGCCCACAAUGACUGGUGGUUGUAGGGUGGUGAGUGGGUGGGAGAGACCCCCAGGCACCCUCCAGGGAUUUGGAGAGCUGACAUUUUCCCUUGUAGCCCCUGAAAGGCUGAUUUCCUGCCCUGUGGAGCAGGAAGGAUGCUGCCUGUGUUAUUGGGUUACAGCUGGUGUCAAUGCUGAUGUUCCUGAAUCCUUGGGGUCUGCAGCACUGCAAGCAUUAGCUGGAACUAGUCAUGUAUUGAUACUGUAAUCAUGCCCAAAAGGCCAGAAUGGGAAUUGAUGUGUCUGACACACCAAUAAGAUGUAAUGAUCCUCUGGGCCCCACGCUUUGCUGUUUAGGAUAAGGAGAGGAGGGGAAAAACAAAACCCAGGUGUCUGUUUUAAAACCAGCAAAAGUGCAGAGGCUGCUUUGUGGGCAGGGUGAGGGCUCUUGGCGCUGAGGUGAGCUUGUACAGCCCUUCUCGUGGAGCUGAGCUGCCUCCCAUCAGGGAAGAAGAGCCCUGGCUCUCAGUGUGGAUGCACAGAGGCUGUCACUGACAGGAUCCAGAGCCAGGCUGGGGAACACUUCAGCUGUGGGCUGGAGGGGUGGGAAGCAGCGUGACCAAACCCCAGCAUCUGUGCAGCUGUGUUUGUGAAAUCCAGCAGAAAUGGCCCUUUGCUGCCCUGGCUUUGUGUGAUGCCCCAGCUUCUGGGAAGAGCUAAAAAUUGAUAACAGCAUCCAAAGGGGGCUCUAUUCUCUCCUGUAAUGACUCACUGGUGCAGCCAAGGGCUCAGUGCUGCUUGCUGCUCUGCCUAAAAGGAUGGUUCAUAUGCUCUGUGCAAGCACUACUAGUUUGCAUCCCUUACCCACUCCGUUACUGAUGUAACUGCACCCAGCUGCAAAUUAAUUGGGACUUCAUUGUCCCAGAGCAAAUUGCUUGCAGAUGCAUCAUAAAUUCGAAGACUGUGAACUAGACUGGGGUGGUGCUGGGUGUGCUCUACACCACUCUGCAUCAAACUGAUUGACAGUGCUGGGAGGGAGGGAUGCAGCUGUGCUCCAGAGCGAAGUUAUCCCAGCCCUGGGUGCCUACAGCCUUGCUCAGGGGGCCGGGGAGGAAGGAAAAAUAGGAAGAGGGUGGUGCUGGCUAAGCUUUGAAAUGGACAGCUCUUUGUGGAAGUAUCUCGGUGUCAUUUGUCACCACCUCGGUGUCAUUUGUCACCUCUUUCUGCUGCACUGAGGUCUAUGGGGCUGGAGUGCCAUGGGUGGGGGUGAGCCCAGGGAUUGAUCCCUGUUCCCUGUGGGACUGAGGGUCUCGUCGUGCCUGGGCUGGAAGUGCUUUAACCUGCACAUGCAGGCUGCUUCUGGAGCUGGUUUUAUCUUCACCCAGCACAAGCACAGCAUGAGUGAAGUGUUCCCUCUUUUCACAGCAUCAACGACAGCAUAACAUUAACGACCUCAAAUUAAUGAUAUGUUGAAAGCUCAAGGCUAAGGCAGCAGGAAUUAAUAUCCUUGAGACCUGUCUAGUUCUGCCUCUUCUGACACCUCCUAAUUUUCCAUGUAAAUUGGUUUAUGGAUCUCUGGCUCUGAUGCUGUCUUGUGUGCUGGGGGAGUCUGGCGUGUCUGCCAGGAAAUUAUCCAGAGUAAUGGUAGGGUUGUAAUUGUGCUGUAGCUAUUCAGAUCUGCCUCCCCUGCGUGGACGUCCUCUCUGUGACUAUCUGAAUAAUCACUGCGUUUAGAGCAGUUUCACACACGUUUCAGGUUUGUUAAAUACUCCAUGCCAGCGUGGGAUGGGCCUGUGUGUGCACAGUUGUGCUCAUAAUAAAACAUCGUGUUUAAUCCUUCUCUUCUAUUGACCCAACCGUGCGUGAACGGCAGGGACAGUUCUUAUGCACACACCUAGAAGAAUAAGCCCAGGCUUCAGCUUAUCCAAGCAAAGUAAACAGACCCAGAAUUUUGGAGGAAGUAAAUAAAGGUGUGAGCACAGCUGCAGGCAAAUCCGUUCAGAAGGUAUUGAUUUGCUCCGUUCUGGUUCUGUUACUGUUCACCAGAACAGACUGAAAUCUGUUUCUGACUUCACAGAAAAUCAAAUGUGGGAGUUGAUUUUUUAAAACUAAUGUUGCAAUAGGGACAAAAAGCUGUACAAGUCGUUUGUUCAGCGGAAAUUCAUUCAGCUUUUAAAUUAAAAAAUGUUUAUUGACUGGUGUGUUUUAAGUGCUGAUGAUUUGAGGACUCUAUAGCACAAUGAGAACUUGUCUCUCCACACAAAUAUAAUAAAUAAAAAGGUAUGUUUUUGUAUAUAGAGCCAGAGUCCCUUUGUUCUAUGGGUUUGCAAUUGGAAAAUUCCCUCCAAUUUGCACACUGCAGGGAUGCUUACUUUUGAGGCCUGAGCUGAAGAUGAGAGCCAUAGAAACAUCAAUAACAAAUCCCCAAGAAGAAAAAGAAGCUUUGCUGAAAUAACGUCUCUGCUUGACCUUGAGAGAUGGCUAUGGAAACAAACCUGGGAUAAG